GUCAAAAGAAAGACAUAUUAUACUAAAGUCCGAUAUUGCUCUGACGUCUGAGGGCUUUGUUUAGGACUUGUUGGGCCUCAUCUACCAUUAAGGAAGCCACCAAAUGUCAGAGCAAACUCUUGACUAAUUAUACGGUCAAUGAACAAUCCCCCAGACUCCGAUCAGGAUAGGGAGGAAGUUUCAUCUAGGACGGAAGCAAAUCGUUUUUAUAUUGGAAACACAGAGCCUACAUCAAAUGCAGAUUUGGAACAACUGUGUUCGAUAAUCAAUACAAUACGGGAAGAAAAAUAUGAUUUGGAAAAUAAGAAUGAUGAACUACAGCAACAAACAUUGACGUUAAAACGCGAAAACAACGAUGUAAGAAGGAAAAUGAGAGAAUUAGAGGAUGGUGUUGAAAAUGAGAGGGAGAGAUAUGAACAAAACAUGAGACAACUGCAGAGUCAAGGUGACGAGAGAAUCAACGACAUGUACGAUAUUUUACACAAACAAAGAUUACAGAUAGAACAAAAAGAUGAGCUUAUACGAUCCAUGUCAAAGGAAAUGACCAAAGUGAAGGCAAGGAUCAUGCAUUACGAAAAUGAUCAGAUGAGAGAUAUUAGACCAAGACAAUCAAAGCGAUUCAAAAGAAGCAUAAUAACAGAAUGCAAACACUGCCACUCUGCAAUUACAGAUGGUGACGAGGAGUGUCGUUUCCACCCUGAAAAACCUGUCCGUGCGGUAAACUACAGCAAAACAAACCCGGUAAUGCUUUGGAAGUGUUGUUACCAGGUAGCCAAAAAAGAACCUUUUGGAUGUACAAGUCUUGCCAACCACGAACCGGUGGCAUGAAUUCGCUUGACCAUUUCUAAUUCGUGGUCCUAUGAUAUUUUUUCCCAAUUAUUGUGAAAUUCUGUCAGCUAUAGAUAAGAGCGAUUUUUCGUGUGGAAAAUUCCUUUCUAAAUAUGAAUAUCAUUGUUUUUGUCAACAUAUUUUAAACUCUAAUCGCAAAAGGAUCAUAAUUCAAUAUCUUAAUUUUAUGGAUAUUUGUUACAGUGAUAGUAGCAAUAUUAGUGUAAUUAAUAUACCACUUAUACAUGUACUAUCAAUAUAUCUAUGGGUUAUUAAUUUCACCUAUUUUAAGAUUAGGAUGUUUCUUUGAAAAUCGUGUUAUUAUUUUCUUAAAUUUUUACUUUGAUUUUUUAUUUUAUCGACUGAUUGUUAUUUUUUUUAAAUUAGUAAGCUUAUUUAAAAUUACAAUGUCUUGCUUUUAUAAUGGAAAAUUUAACUGUCUCAAAUCAUUGAUUGAUUGAUUGUUGAUUGCUUAACGUCCAAUGGCAAAUAUUUCAUGCAUGUUCAGGUCUCAAAUGAGAAAUGUUGUAUCGCAGUCCUUGCAAACUUUGUGGAGUUUUUUUUGUAUUAUUUAAUGUAUAUAUGUAUUUUGUUGUAUUAGUAAUAAGGCAACUGACACUAUAUACAUAAUUUCGUCAAAUUUCUAGGUCAAUUUCAUUUUGCAUAAAUUAUGAAAAUCGUGUAAGCCGUAAGUUGAGACUUGGGUAUUACGUUUGCUCUUAUAUCUUAUAGCUUUUUCACGUGUUUGGUUCAGUAACUUUACAUCAUAGGUCAGCAAUACUUCAUUUGUGAAUAAUAUGUUAUAUGGAGUAUAUAUUUUUGGCUGACAUAAUGCAUAUACCUUCGACCUCAUUUGCAUGCUCCAGUAGUCUGAUUAAAGUCUUUAAACGUUUUUUAUUUUAUUUUAAUUAUACAAGAUUCGACACAUAUAUCGUGUAUCUGAUUUUUAUUUAUGUGAAGAGAUAAAAAAUAAAAGAUGUGAGGAAUAAAUAAAAAGACAAUAUCUUAAUGACAAAAUAUAACUGAAAAAAAAAAUCACUACCAGGGGCGGAUUCAGGCGGGGCUUGGCGGGCGUGCGCCCCCUAAAAUUUGCAAAGCAUGGGUUGUCCUCAGCUUAAUAAAGAAUACUUCGAUAAUUUACCUCAAAAAAAAAUUUAAGUUUUCGCCCCCUAACCUAAAAUCCUGGAUCCGACCCUGACUACGUUAUUUAAUAUCAAAUCUGACAGGUUUUAUAUGACCCUAUCUAAGGUUAAGAAUUCAGUGACCUUAAAAUGAUUCGAAUAUCUCAGUAGGGAAGACACUUAAAUGUGUCAUCUCUUGCAAAUCGUUUAGUACUCUCCUGCCAAACCACGCCACACGUCGACACCGUAAAUUAGCACGAUGCUUUAUUAUUGCGUGUAGAAAAUUAAGAGGUCGUCUUAAGUAAAUAUUUUUCAAUAAAAACUUGUUUAGAGCGUAAAACUGAACGAUACUCAAAGAUAAUAGUUAGGGUACAUAUUCAUUAAUAGUUGAAAAUCAAGACAAUGCACAUUUCAAACAUUCUAUUUUCACUUUAUAACCAUCAUUUAUAUGGACAUAGUUUUAUUUUUACCUUGAUUUAGAUAAAGAUUUUUCUUCAGACAGCCACCUAGUUAUUUUGUAUAUUACUAAGCAUGUAUUUUGACUGAAAAUUGAAAUAUAUAUUCCUUUAUCUUGAUGUAUGUUAGUUUUUAGUAAAGUUCUUUCGUUCUAGAAAGCAGAUGUGUUAAUAUGUCUGCACGAUGGUAUAUAUUCAACCCAUAUAGAAAUCAAUACAACAUACGUAUUAUGCAUAUAUAGCAUACGUUAUUUAGUGUUAAGUGCAUUUCUGCACUGUUUUUUUGUUUGUUUUUGUUUUGUUUUUCGUUUUAGAACUGAAAUUAACUGAUCUUUGUUAGUUAUAACUGAUCGAGGUUAAAAGGGGGGAAGGUUGAAAAAAACUAGUCUAAUCCCACCACAUGUUCAUGUGCCUGUCCCAAGUCAGGAACCUCUUUGGUUGUCCUUCGUCCUAUCUUUUUUUCACUUUGAGGAAUUGUGGCAGAUGUUUGGAAGCUCUUUUAAAUUUAUUUACUAUUUUUUAGACUAGGGCUAUAUAGAACUUAACAUAUUGUAUAGACACCUGUCUUCUGAGGAAGGCCUUUAAAUGUCUUUUAGUUUUUUUUGCUGUUGGGUUGCUGUCUCAUUGACGUAUGCCCCACAUAUGUGUUUAUUCAUAUUUAAUCUCCAGAAUUACGAAGCCUAAAUGCUAUUUGACUGAAUACACAUGUUUCUUGAUUCCAGUUGUCGGACAAUCAUGUAAACAUGGACCGUGGAAGCGUUCCUUGAUGCAAUAUAACGAAUCCGCAAGUGAUCAUAUCUACGGUAUAUAUCAUUGCUGUUUUCGAUCUCGAGGAACAGCUAUCUUGAUAGACUCUAUCAGACUCACGACACCAUACUGGUCUUUGGUUGGGGGAAAACCGAAGUAAUACCAUCAAAUUUAUUCAUUGACUCCGAUGUCAGACUAAGAACAUUAAGUUCCUGUGUAGGACGUUAAAACAACAUCAACCAUGUUGUACAAUUGACGAGGAACAAGUCUAGGAAAAAGACGCUUUAUUCUUUAAAAUUGGAAAACUUAAGCUCUGUUCUGCAUAGGAUAAUGUACCAUAGAAUCAAGUCAAUACAUUUUUUAGGUUUGUUCUCCUUCAGUUUACCCUAUUGAAUUUUAUUUAGACAGAAUACAUUUUGAAUGAGUGUCCAUGUCGUUUUUUUCUAUAAUAAAAAAAUAAAAUAAAUAAAAACACACAAAAAAAAAAAAAAUAUACAUGUACCCUUAUUGGAAGAUAAUCAUCGACUAAUUUGAUUCAGAUAAUCUCAAAUCUACAAGCCACAUAUACUAGAAUAUGGCGUAUUUUUUUUAUUACAGAAUCAUGAUAAAUAAUAACUGCUUGAACAUAUAAUAUAUUUGUGGAAAUAUGUUUAAUAAUGAUUAUUGCUAGUUAAUUAUUCAUAUAAUGAUUGUUCAUUUUAAUAUAUAUGGUUGUUUACUACAGGUAGUAUAUUUUUUCUCUUUCUAUAGUUUAUCGAUUGCCUUGAUACAUUAAUGACAAAUUUAUUUUAACAUAUUUCUCGUAUUUUCUCCGAACAAAUAAAUAUUGCCAGUUUUUUUUUCAUAUUGUGUGUAUAUAAUUGUACAAUAUACUUGUUGAUGAUGCACAAAAUAGGACAAUGUAUCUGCUUAUACAUGUAUAUACAAUGUAUAUGUUAAUUUUUUUUAUAUUUAGGUAUAAUAUGUAUACGCUAGCAUAAGCUUAAAUGUCACGUGUUUGCUGUUCAAAUAAAUUUUUAUACAUUUUA